rnacentral:rRNA from 1 species
AUACGAAGGGUGCAAGCGUUACUCGGAAUUACUGGGCGUUAAAGCGUGCGUAGGCGGUUUGUUAAGUCUGACGUGAAAUCCCCGGGCUCAACCUGGGACGUGCGUUGGAAACUGGCGAUCUAGAGUACGGUAGAGGGUGGUGGAAUUCCCGGUGUGGCAGUGAAAUGCGUAGAGAUCGGGAGGAGCACUCGUGGCGAAGGCGGCCACCUGGACCAGUACUGACGCUGAGGCACGAAAGCGUGGGGAGC